AGCAGCCGCGGUAAUUCCAGCUCCAAUAGCGUAUAUUAAAGUUGUUGCAGUUAAAAGCUCGUAGUUGAAUUUCGGGGUUAGUAGGUUGGUCAUGCCUCUGGUAUGUACUGGUCUCACUGAUUCCUCCUUCCUGAUGAGCCGUAAUGCCAUUAAUUUGGUGUUGCGAGGAAUUUGGACUGUUAUUUUGAAAAAUUAGAGUGUUUAAAGCAAGCUAACGCUUGAAUACAUUAGCAUGGAAUAAUGAAAUAGGACGUUCGAUCCUAUUUUGUUGGUUUCUAGGAUUGACGUAAUGAUUAAUAGGGAUAGUUGGGGGCAUUAGUAUUCAAUUGUCAGAGGUGAAAUUCUUGGAUUUAUUGAAGACUAACUACUGCGAAAGCAUUUGCCAAGGAUGUUUUCAUUGAUCAAGAACGAAAGUUAGGGGAUCGAAGACGAUCAGAUACCGUCGUAGUCUUAACCAUAAACUAUGCCGACUAGGGAUCGGAUGAUGUUUAAUUUUUAAUGUACUCAUUUCGGCCG
rnacentral:misc_RNA from 1 species